rnacentral:lncRNA from 1 species
UGAAGAUGAUUUGGAGUGACCUCAUCCAGAGAAUAAUUUUCAUUUCACUUACUGAAUUGGGGUUUUAGGAAACAUCAUCUUAUUCUUGAGAUACGUGCACACUUUCAUCAUGGGUCCUGAGAACAAAAAUAUAGAUAUUAUUCUCAUCCACCUGGCUUUUGUAAACACAACCAUUAUUUAUUGCCUAGGAGUCAGAAACAUGAUCACAAUUUUUUACAUCAGAAACUUCCUAGGAGAUAUUGCUUGUAAAACUAUAGUUUAUCUAGAAAUGGUUGCCCAUGGCCUCUCCAUGACAUCUGCACCACCUGGCUCCUCAGUGUGGUCCAGGCUGUCACCAUCAGUGCCAGGACCACAUUGUGGAGAAAGUUCAAUCCAUGGCAUGUUCCUGCCUUUCUCCUCCUCUUUUGGAUCUUAAAUUCCACGAUAAGCUCCAAUUUGCUUCACUAUAUCACAACAGGAAGUAGCAUGAACAGGUCUGAAACUGGAAUGUUUACUGGGUAUUGCUAUAUGCUGCCAUCCAGGCACACAGUUAAGUGGCUGUUCCUCUCUCUCAUGGCUCUUCGUGAUGUCAUUUUUCCAGGAUCUCAUGGGCUGGAGCAGUGGGUCCAUGGCUCUCCAUCUGUAUAAGUGUCACAAGCAUCUCCUCUUCACGGUUCUAGGUCUGCAAACAAUUACAAGCCAGAAAUCUGAGCUACCCAGAGGGUUCUCCCUCUCAUGAUCUGUUUCCUUUUCUUUUGUUGGGCAGAUUUUAUUUUCUCCUUAUACA